CCUACGGGGGGCUGCAGUGGGGGAUAUUGCACAAUGGGGGGAACCCUGAUGCAGCGACGCCGCGUGGGUGAAGAAGCGCCUCGGCGCGUAAAGCCCUGUCAGCAGGGAAGAAAAUGACGGUACCUGAAGAAGAAGCCCCGGCUAACUACGUGCCAGCAGCCGCGGUAAUACGUAGGGGGCAAGCGUUAUCCGGAUUUACUGGGUGUAAAGGGGGCGCAGACGGCGAUGCAAGCCAGGAGUGAAAGCCCGGGGGCCAACCCCGGGACUGCUCUUGGAACUGCGUGGCUGGAGUGCAGGAGGGGCAGGCGGAAUUCGUGGGGUAGCGGUGAAAUGCGUAGAUAGCAGGAGGAACACCGGUGGCGAAGGCGGCCUGCUGGACUGCAACUGACGUUGAGGCCCGAAAGCGUGGGGAGCAAACAGGAUUAGAUACCCCUGUAGUC
rnacentral:rRNA from 1 species